UAAAAAUUUUUGUAGUUUAAAAAAUUUAUUUAAAGUUUAUUUUACAUAUAAAUUUUAGUGUUAAUAUUAAUUUAUUUUAAUAAUAAAUUUUAUUUUUUUAUUUAGUAAUUAAUAUUAAAAUAUUUAAGAAAUUAAUAUUUAGUAAUAUUUAAAUUAAUAACUAAUUUUGUGCCAGCAGUUGCGGUUAAACAAAGAUUAAGUUAAAUUUUAUUAGUUAAGUUAAUUAAUAUUAAUAAAAUAAAAUAAUUUAAAUUUAAGAUUAUUAGGUGAAAUUUUAAUUUUAUAAAAAAUUAUUUAAAAUAUAUGAUUUAAUAAAUUUAUUUAAAAACUAGGAUUAGAUACCCUAUUAUUAAAAUUUUAAAUUAAUAAAUACUAAAAUAGUAGGUAAUUAUUUAUUGAAACUUAAACAAUUUGGCGGUAUUUUAGUUCAUUUAGAGGAAUCUGUUUAAUAAUUGAUAAUCCACGAAUAAAUUUACUUAAUUUAUAAUUUUGUAUAUCGUUGUUAAAAAAAUAUUUUUAGAUAAAAGUAAUAUUUUAAAAUUAAAAAUAAAAUUAAAUCAGAUCAAGAUGCAGAUUAUAAUUAAGAAUAUAAUGGAUUACAAUAAAUUUAUUUAAAUGAAUUUUAAUUUGAAAAAAUUAAUUGAAAUUGGAUUUAAAUGUAAUUUUAUUUAGUUUAAUAAAAUGAUUAAAAAUUGAAAUAUGUACAUAUUGCCCGUCGCUUUCAUAUAAAUAAAUAAAAUUGAAAUAAGUCGUAACAAAGUAGAGGUACUGGAAAGUGUUUCUAGAAAGAC
rnacentral:ncRNA from 1 species